AAGGCAUCAGUUGUCAGAGCAGGCCAUUUGUGCAGCCAACAUCAAAUUAUCCAGUACUCGCUAUGUUCCAGGCACUCUGCUUUACUUUCAUUGCCUUGUCCUCCAGGAGCUCACAGUCCACUGGGGAAGAGAAGCAGUUAGCAAAGCAUUCUAAUACAAUGUGGAAAGUCGAUAAUAGAGAGAGGAAUAAAGCGUCUUGGCUACAUUAAGAAGGGAAUACUAACCCUGCCUGAGGGAGCCUAGAAGGACUUCACUGAGGAAAUAACAUAUGCAUUAAUCCUUGAAGAAUGAGCAAUAAGUAGCCUACCAGGCAGAUAAUUUCAUUUAAAAAAAAAGAUUUUAUGCAUGGAGAGAGAAACACCAAAAUUAUGAAAAUGCAAGAGAGAAUAGCAUGUCUGGAGACUAAUAUCCUACAAACUUCAUCACAUGGUGAUGUGAAUAGUGAAAGAGAUUAUAGGAUUCUUCAGACUUCUGAUAGUGUCCAGAUUACUUCCAGUUACUUACCUUGGGCCAGAAAAACUGCAAACAAGAUCAGAUGAUCGCUGAAGGUAGAAGAAAUGCCAUACACAUACAAGAUUUGAUAACCUGUAAAAGCUUUCAGAUACAAGUGUGCAUCACCCACAACACUAACUUCAGAUGAGGAGAGCAAACUUCCUAAGAGCUGCUUGUACAUUUUCUCAUUUCUCAUUGUGAAGAAAAAAGUGGAAGUAGCCAGAGAAACUCAGAGACCUUCAACUGAGAAACUUCUGAAGCUCAAAGCGAGAAAACUUUUCCUCCUUAUCCAUCCUCAGAUUCUCUACUGAAAUUGACCUUCUACAGGUCCCAGUUUGGAAAAAGACAAAACAAAACAAAACAAAACAAAACAAAAUUGAAAAAAAAAACUAGCAUCUUUUGCCAUGAGUCCCUAGAUGGCUGCUAAAUUCAACUGGAUCCCAUGGCACCAUGAAAAUGUACUCAAACAUCUCUAUUAUGAACUUGGAAAAAUAAACAAUAUUAGAAGACUUGAAUUUUUGUGCCACCUCUGUCAUAAAUCAUGUUGUACCCAGCAAACCACCUAAAACUUUUCUGAUAUGCAAAAGGGAAAUAAUAAUAUUUACUCUGCCAAUAUGGAAAGACUAUUGGGAUGAGAUUAUGAAAUACUCUGUGAAAAUCUUGGUAAUGAAGGCAAAAUUAUUUAAUUUAAUUUAAGGCAGCAAGCAUCUACCAAGCACCUAUCAGCUCUCAUCUACAAUGCACGGAAGAGACGAAAUGGACAUGAACAUGAUGAAUCUUACCCUUGUGGAAAUUUUGAAGAAUGAAUUGAAUGAAAGUAGAAUAUAGUCUGAAGUUCAAUCUAGAGAUUCAUUUGGUUCAUAGGGAAAAAACAAUGAGAAAAGAAAUGAGGGAAGAAAAUGGCACUGUGUGUUUCUGGAACUUGAAAUGAUGCAGCAUUGCAGUUUGAAGAUAGAUUGGUAGGCAGAAGCAAAUAUGACUGAGUUUAUGGUACAUAAAGAAACAUUGUAAAAGAUUGUCAUUCAUUUAUUCAUUCAACAAAUAUUUAUUGAGUGCCUGUCAUGACCCCGGACUAUACUAGUUGGUCAAUAAACAAAGGUGAAAUAAAAAUAUCUACUCCUCUACCUCCUUGUAUUCAUAUCUAGGGUUGGAGACCUUGGAUCUGAUUAAAUAGGAAAUUCGAAAGAUGUAGUUCAGGCCAGAUGUGGUGACUCAUGCCUGUAAUCCCAGAACUUUGGGAGGUCAAGGCAGGAGGAUUGCUUGAGCCCAGGAGAUUGAAACUACCCUGGGC
rnacentral:lncRNA from 1 species